UACGGAGGGAGCUAGCGUUGUUCGGAAUUACUGGGCGUAAAGCGCGCGUAGGCGGCUUUGUAAGUUAGAGGUGAAAGCCCGGGGCUCAACCCCGGAAUUGCCUUUAAGACUGCAUCGCUUGAAUCCGGGAGAGGUGAGUGGAAUUCCGAGUGUAGAGGUGAAAUGCGUAGAGAUCCGGAGGAACACCAGUGGCGAAGGCGACACGCUGGGCCGUACCUGACACUGAGGCGCGAUAGCAUGGGGAGCAAACAGG
rnacentral:rRNA from 1 species